AGUCGUAACAAGGUCUCCGUAGGUGAACCUGCGGAGGGAUCAUUACUGAGUUUUUAACUCUCCAAACCAUGUGAACUUACCACUGUUGCCUCGGUGGUUAGUGCUCUCUCUCGGGAGGGUGCUGCCACCGGUGGACUACUAAACUCUUGUUAAUUUAAGUCAUUCUGAAUCAUAACUAAGAAAUAAGUUAAAACUUUCAACAACGGAUCUCUUGGUUCUGGCAUCGAUGAAGAACGCAGCGAAAUGCGAUAAGUAAUGUGAAUUGCAGAAUUCAGUGAAUCAUCGAAUCUUUGAACGCACAUUGCGCCCAUUAGUAUUCUAGUGGGCAUGCCUGUUCGAGCGUCAUUUCAACCCUUAAGCCUAGCUUAGUGUUGGGAGACUACCUAACUGGUAGCUCCUCAAAACCAGUGGCGGAGUCUGUUCGUGCUCUGAGCGUAGUAAUUUUUUAUCUCGCUUCUGUAAGCCGAUCAAACAACAGCCAAAAACCGCACCCUCACGGGGCACUUUUUAAUGGUUGACCUCGGAUCAGGUAGGAAUACCCGCUGAACUUAAGCAUAUCAAUAAGCGGAGGAA
rnacentral:misc_RNA from 1 species